AUUGAACGCUGGCGGCAGGCCUAACACAUGCAAGUCGAACGGUAACAGGAAGAAGCUUGCUUCUUUGCUGACGAGUGGCGGACGGGUGAGUAAUGUCUGGGAAACUGCCUGAUGGAGGGGGAUAACUACUGGAAACGGUAGCUAAUACCGCAUAACGUCGCAAGACCAAAGAGGGGGACCUUCGGGCCUCUUGCCAUCGGAUGUGCCCAGAUGGGAUUAGCUAGUAGGUGGGGUAACGGCUCACCUAGGCGACGAUCCCUAGCUGGUCUGAGAGGAUGACCAGCCACACUGGAACUGAGACACGGUCCAGACUCCUACGGGAGGCAGCAGUGGGGAAUAUUGCACAAUGGGCGCAAGCCUGAUGCAGCCAUGCCGCGUGUAUGAAGAAGGCCUUCGGGUUGUAAAGUACUUUCAGCGGGGAGGAAGGGAGUAAAGUUAAUACCUUUGCUCAUUGACGGUACCCGCAGAAGAAGCACCGGCUAACUCCGUG
rnacentral:rRNA from 1 species